UGCAUCAUGGGGUUUGGGCUGUAAUGGAAUUUUCUGCAGGUACACUGACUAAACUCUAGGAAAUUACGACUAGUUAACUCCGGAGUGAGUAGGUAUGCCACCGCCAUAGAGCGUGCAAGCCACUAUAUGCUGGCAAGAUUGUGAGGACGAAUAGGACGAGCAUGCAUCAUGACAUAUAACUUUAAGUUAAACCCCCUAUGUAGUAGCUUUAGUACGUGUUUCGUCUACCCUGUUCGUGCUACCUGUCUUUGCCUUUCUAUGCUACCUUUCCCUGUUUUUGAAGACUGGAAGGCAAGUUUAGUUGGUGGGCAGAAUACCUUGCGCUGCAGCCAGAAGGACGUUAAGUUCUCAGGUUGAGUUCUGUAAGGCAUUUCGGGCACGUCAUGUUCAAGAAGCCCCUAUGUAAAUAAAGUUCAAAGAGUUUUUGGAUCUAAAGCAAGGUGAAGAAGCGAGUGUAAUGGACUAUUUAAGAGGUUUACUCGCCUAUCCUAGUAUGUUUUGGAUUAUGUGGAUGCCAGUAAAAAAAGCAAUACAUCCUACAUGAUCUUAAUGUGAAACUUUAGCUCCUAAUGGCAAUUAGUUUGGUUGAAGGAUAUAAGGAAAUGGUCAGUCAGGCUAUUCUAGGAAAUAAUAAGAUUCGUCUACAUCAGGAGUUUAAGUGAAAGAAGUAAAGGAUAUACCUGAUGUGAGGGAGUUCUCGGAUGUGUUCCUCGAAGAUUUGACUAGUUGCGUCCAGAAAGAGAUGUGGAAUUGCGAUUGGGUUGCAGUCCGGGACUCCAUUCACCCUGAAGAUAGCAAUAGGUACCAAGGUUUGAAACAGAGAUUUUAGUGGACCUAUAGCUUAUAAGGUAUAGUUGCUAAAAGGACCUUCAACAGUGCACGACGUGUUCCACGUGUCCCAAUGGAAGAAAUGUCUUCGAGUCCCCAAAUAUGUAUUGAGAUUUUAGAUGUUAACCAUAAACCAGGUUUAACCUCCUCGGAAUAUCCCAUAAAUGUGUUAGAUCAAAAGGAUCGGGUCACUCGAAGAAAAGUUAUUGAGUUUUACGAGAUACAGUGGAACUAACGCCCGCAAGAUAAAGUCACGUAGUAGUCAGAGAAGUAUUUGGAAAAGUAUAAUCCUGAGUUCCUAGUGUCCUGUAAACCCUAGGUUUGUAUAAGUUGUCUUUCGAUGAAGGGCACACCCCUGCCUUGUAGGAGUAACUGAGAAAUAAACUGGUGACGCAUUUCCUGUUCCAUUACUUAGCCCACAGUUUUAAUCUCGGGACGAGAUUCCUUUUUAGGGGGAAAGGAUGUAACACCCCUGGUGUUACGAGAACUAAAACCUUGGCAUGUCAUCAUAUGCAUCAGCAUCAUUUUGAUUGAUACACCUAGAAUGCAUUUCACUAGGUCAAAAUUUUCAAACUAUAUGUGGUGUGUUAUCUUGUUGAGAGCCAAAGGAGUUUGAAGAGUUAGUGAGUGGUCGAGUGAAAGCAAACUACUUCCAAGCUAAAGAUGUCUUGGCCAUGAAAUCCAAGUACUAAAAUUGAACUUUGAGGUGAAGUGUAUUCUUGCUUUAAGUAAGGGAUCAGACUGGUGAGAUUUGUCUGGAGAAAAGCAAUCUCAAAUGAAACACUAAAGUAGCCUAAUAGUGGAAUUUUAAAUCUAGAGAGAAUUUGCUAAAGAUCCAUAUAUCAAAGUUGUAGAGUUUGGAGAGCUGAACAACUUUCAUGUAUGGAGAACUCCAUGUUUUAGAGGAAAAGUUGGAGUAAAAUGCUUAAAUCAAUUUUGAAUCAGAUUUGAAGUUUGCUGAAAAUAAUAUCAACUAGCUGUUUUUGCGUCCUCAUAACUUUUGAUCUAUGAACGGUUUGAAGGUGGACAUUAUAAUAAGGUUGUAGAGCUACACUAGGGAUACAAAUUUGCUUAUACAACCUGUCCCUAAAACCAUGUGAAACUGGGUGUAAAACUAGUCCAAAAUGGGGUUGUAAUACUUGUGGAGUUUCAGACUUAGUGCAAUCUCUGAAACUGAAGAUUUUAUAUUCUGAAGCAACCUUGGAGGCCUGUUAGUGGCUGAUACAUACAGCUAUGGGUUAAAGUUUAUGUACCAAGGUGGAAUACCACAUGUUGGUGUAUAAGUUUGGUUAAAGGUUAUGCCCCUAAAGAUGUAUGGAACUGGGAGAAACAAUGGCCCAAAGAUGCAAUGUGCUGUUCUGGAUUUCAGACUUAGUGAAAAACCAGAACCUGAAACUGUGUGUUUUGGUGCAAUUUGGAAACCCUUUUGAGUUUAAUCCAUAGAGUUUUGAGCCAUACUCCUUGUGUCAAAGUUGAAGAGUGUAUAUCAGUGAACAAGUUCCUUUGAGGAAGGUUGGCUUGGUACUGCAUAAAAAGUGGAGCAAUAGUUGCUUAAAAUAGGGGCUGUCAGACUUCUAGAUUUUUCAGAUUUUGCAUAGUGUCUGAAUUCUAAAUCAGUGUUGGGAGUGCUGUUUGGGGAGCCUGUUCUGCUUAAUCAAUAAGGUUUUGGACUGAAGUUUUUGUAGAAAGUUUGAAGACCAUAUGUUAGUGAAUAAGUGCCUUUAAGUAUGUUGGGUGUGAUCCCACACCAAAAGUGAAGUAAUGGCUGUCCAAAGUUGGACUUUCAGUCUGCGGUGACAGAAGGUUAUUCAGUCAACUGUAGCUUUGGUCCAGUGUGAUUUUCCAAAUUUUUGGAGCUAUUUUGUGACUAAUCCUUGGAGUAUUAAGCCAUAUCAUUAUAAGCAGAGUUGAAGAACAUAUAUUAGUGUGCAAGUUGAUGUGGGGAGGUAGCUCUGUCUCUAUGAAGAAAUGGGAGCAAAAGAAGGAUGAAUCUGGCUCUGCAGUCGAACUGAAGAAGUUCAGAGCAGUUAGUGUAGUCUGAAAUUUCAGACUAGAAAUAGUAACUGGCAGAGACUGAAUCUCAGUGUUGGUGCUCAGUUUAGAGUCCCUGUGCAGCCAAUCCCUGUGGUUUUUGAAUUGAGAGUUUUGUAGCAAAAUGGGAGAUCAUGUAUAGGUGCAUAAAUUCCUUUAAGUCAUCUGGACCUGGUACUACAUAAACUUAGGAGAAAAGGGGUCGCAAAAUGGCUCUGUCAGACGUUAAUGGCUGUUGAUUGGUUCAGAUAAGGAAGUUCGAGCUCAGAGUAAUGUACCCCACUUGUGGGUACUCUAGAUUUGAUUAUAGGUCUUUUUAGCCUAUACAAACUACAGUAACCGGGAAAAGCUAUGUUUACUGAAUAAUCUUGGGGCAAUGAAGUGGGCAUGUUGUGUUAAGAAUAAAGAGAAAAGGGGAGCUGAACUUGAGGUUUCAGUCGAGUAAAACAGCAGGAGCAGUUUCAGAAUAAUCUGAUGGAAGUAUCUCCAUCCACCAAAUUGAUAUAGGGAAUUCUAGGAUAUGCCAGCCCAAAAGAGACUUAUGAGAAAGGAAAGUUUAUUGUCAAAAAUUCACCACCCCGAGGAUAGAUGCAGGAAGGGUGUAAAGCCUAUCUCUUGGAUGAUUCAGCUGCUUCACUGUUGAUGAGGUGUCAUACAUGCAGUAAAGGUGUGCUGGACUUUUUCCCUGAGCUUCCACCUUGCGUGGUAAACAUGCAGGUGUGUGUUGGGGAUUGUUAAUUCGCAUUUUCCCUCUGAAAUAGCCCCAGCCCGACCUCCAUUAAGCCAACUCUUGUUAUGCUAGUUUGGAGCCCAAACUGAAUUGCUUGUGCUCUCGACGAUUUCCUGGUUUCCCCACUGUGCCUCCCUCGUGCAGCAGCAGUAGCGCUCGGCUCAGCUCCCUUCCUUCAUCACACAAAGCCCCACUUCGUCGUGCCUCCACCCUGCUUGGCUUUCCCCAUCGUACGUGGCUGCUGAGCACCUCGCCGAGGCUACAGCAGCGCUCAGCACAGCUCCGGCCCGCCGGCGGUUUUCUCUACUCGACCUCCCUCAUCGCUGCAUCUGGACAUACGCUGCUGCUCGCCGCGCUCCCUGGUGUGCGAGCUUGCUGGCACCCAGUCCUCCUCUCCACGUCAGAGUCCUUACCUCACCAUCAAGACAUCGUCGUCGCGCCGUCAGCUCCCAGAAAAGGAAGUUGAAAUUCAAGAAGUGGUUCCUGAAGAGGAGUCUGCUCCAGUGUUGUAGAUCCAGUGGUGGAGUCCCAUCUAACUGUAGAAAGGUUUUGGAUCUUUUCUGCAACAA